rnacentral:rRNA from 1 species
AGAGUUUGAUCAUGGCUCAGAAUCAACGCUGGCGGCGUGCCUAACACAUGCAAGUCGAACGCGAAAGCUCCGCAAGGGGCAAGUAGAGUGGCAAACGGGUGAGUAACACGUGGGUGACCUGCCUUCGAGCGGGGGAUAACGUCCCGAAAGGGACGCUAAUACCGCAUAACAUCCUGCCUUUGAAGAGGCGGAGAUCAAAGCCGGGGAUCGCAAGACCUGGCACUCGGAGAGGGGCCCGCGUCUGAUUAGCUAGUUGGUGGGGUAAUGGCCUACCAAGGCAACGAUCAGUAUCCGGCCUGAGAGGGCGGACGGACACACUGGGACUGAGACACGGCCCAGGCUCCUACGGGAGGCAGCAGUGGGGAAUUGUUCGCAAUGGGCGCAAGCCUGACGACGCAACGCCGCGUGGAGGAUGAAGAUCUUCGGGUCGUAAACUCCUGUCGAAUGGGACGAAUAGGUUGCGGGUGAACAGCCCGCGACAUUGACGGUACCGUAAA